UAUGGGAAAUAUUAAUGAAACAUAGAUAUCGUCUGUUAUUGACUAAGUACCAGUUUCAGGUGCAUUGCCCUAAUUCAAGGUACUGUUCAUGCACCCUUCGUUAAACUGUAGGGCAGUUACGAACAGGGCUGCCUUAGUCUGUAGUAACUUAAUCGCGUAAAAAAUUGACCAUUCCAGUACUUCUUACACGGUCCCUUAGCCCAGCUCGUGCUACCUCCAAUUUAACUCUUAUUUUGGAAAGGCAGUUGCUUUGCCUGAGAAGGUGAACCUAGCUUUGUCAAUGGCUUGAAUAUGAUUGAAAAUCAAUCCACAAUGUGGUUCUGUUGGCUACUUUGUCUGGAACUUCUCAGAUGGUCUGAUGUGGAUUAAAAGAAAUAUACAGACUUGUCUUCUUUGCUGAUGAUUGCGUAAUUUAUAUGUUCAGUGGGUCAGUUUGCGAAUGUGAUCGCAGGGGGUCUACUGAUUAUUCUAGCUGUGAAACGAGGACUGAUGGUUUCCCCUAAUACAUGUCCUUUGUAAAAAAAGUAUUUAGUGCUACUUGUGUGCGUAGAAGUUUCACGCAGAAAAACUGAAUGUUGAAUUAUGGAGAAGACGUUGGAAACUAGCUUCAUUUUUCUUAUACUGUCUUUAACAGGGUUUGCUCUGUGUAGUGGCACCUGCACCCAUGGGAACUCCACUACUACAGAACCACUGGAAAUCGUGUCUAAACAACAUGGUGAAGUGAACUGUACAGAUAGUCCUGCACUUGUAAAGAGGAGUGAACAUUUCUGGGAGUGUCCACCAAAAUACAAGGAUUACUGUAUUCGAGGGAAAUGUAAAUUUGUAGAGGCAGUGAAGGUGCCAUCAUGCAUUUGUGAAAUGGGAUACGUUGGCUCAAGGUGUGAAUUAAUAGAUAUUUUAUAUUUAACAAGUGAACGAAGACAUAUUGUUGCCAUAAGUCUAGUUGCAGCAUUUGUGGGACUUGUCAUUCUAAUCAUAUUCAUAUGCCUUUGUGUACAUCAUUGGCGAAAGAAACACAGACAACCAGAAAAAUCAGAAGAGGCAGAAACUUUAGAAAUAAGACCAGCAGAAAAUAACAACAUUGCAGCUGGAAAUCAAGACACAAUAGUAUGAAUCCAGUUUGUCUUGCAGAGGAUGCAUUCACAUUGAAAGAAUGUACAAACAGGUUGGUAUGGAGGCACCUGCAGGCAGGUCUCGUUUGGAUGAAUGUGUUGCUGCUAUUCGGGCAAAAGUGUUGAUUCAGGAAUACAGUAACACCUCAUGUGCACUCGACUGUCUUUGUUGUAAAGCCAGCCACAGCUGCACAUGACUUUCUCACUGAACAUUUUUGUGUGCUGUGUAUUGAAGUUGCAUACUGCCAAACUGCAAUCCUAGCUUUCAGUUUUAGUGCAGUAGUAUAUGAAGUAUAUGCUCACAGAUGACAGUCUGUGAUACCACUGUAACUGUAAUAAAAUUAUAUUUUAAUAAAUAUUGCAGUUUGAA